rnacentral:rRNA from 1 species
UACGGAGGGGACUAGCGUUGUUCGGAAUUACUGGGCGUAAAGCGCACGUAGGCGGGUCUUUAAGUCAGGGGUGAAAUCCUGGAGCUCAACUCCAGAACUGCCUUUGAUACUGAGGAUCUCGAGUCCGGGAGAGGUGAGUGGAACUCCGAGUGUAGAGGUGAAAUUCGUAGAUAUUCGGAAGAACACCAGUGGCGAAGGCGGCUCACUGGCCCGGUACUGACGCUGAGGUGCGAAAGCGUGGGGAGCAAACAGG